rnacentral:misc_RNA from 1 species
UUUCCGUAGGUGAGCCUGCGGAAGGAUCAUUAUUGAAUGAAACACUUCUGGCUUUAUGCUGUUGUGCUGGCCCUUUGGGCAAUGUGCACACGGCUCUGGUCACUUGUUUCUUCUGUUCCCCCUGUGCACUGCCUGUAGACACGCUGUGUCUAUGAUAUUUGUUAACACACAACAAUGUUAGUUGGCAUGUUAUAUAUAAUAAUAAAAUAUACAACUUUCAACAACGGAUCUCUUGGCUCUC